rnacentral:rRNA from 1 species
UGAGGAAUAUUGGUCAAUGGGCGAGAGCCUGAACCAGCCAAGUAGCGUGCAGGACGACGGCCCUAUGGGUUGUAAACUGCUUUUAUAAGGGAAUAAAGUGAGUCUCGUGAGACUUUUUGCAUGUACCUUAUGAAUAAGGACCGGCUAAUUCCGUGCCAGCAGCCGCGGUAAUACGGAAGGUCCGGGCGUUAUCCGGAUUUAUUGGGUUUAAAGGGAGCGUAGGCCGGAGAUUAAGCGUGUUGUGAAAUGUAGACGCUCAACGUCUGCACUGCAGCGCGAACUGGUUUCCUUGAGUACGCACAAAGUGGGCGGAAUUCGUGGUGUAGCGGUGAAAUGCUUAGAUAUCACGAAGAACUCCGAUUGCGAAGGCAGCUCACUGGAGCGCAACUGACGCUGAAGCUCGAAAGUGCGGGUAUCGAACAGGA